CAUUAGGGUCUGCUACACAAGCAGUUGGGCCCAUGCCCCAAAAACGGAGUAUAACCCCCUA
rnacentral:tRNA from 1 species